UAUCCUCCAAACUGCAGGAAGUAAAGGAAAACGAUGCAUCAUAAAUAUUCAUUUUAAAACAAUAAUAUAUUUUGAUUUUCACAUCCGAGUGCUAGAUAGAUGCAUCAAAUCUGAUAGUUAUUCUCGAAGAAUAUGGUGAACAAAGUUAUUUUAAGAAUAUGACAGAGUAUCAUACUGGAGAUCUCUCAUAUGGGGCAUCUCAGACAUUCAAGAGCUAUAUUAUGGACAUAAGCAAACAUGUACACUCAAGUGAGCUUCCCUGAAUGCCUAGCAAAACAAUCACAUCAGACAAAGAAGAGGCAUUGGAUGAAACAGA
rnacentral:misc_RNA from 1 species